rnacentral:rRNA from 1 species
CAGCCGCCGCGGUAAUACGUAGGUCCCGAGCGUUGUCCGGAUUUAUUGGGCGUAAAGCGAGCGCAGGCGGUUAGAUAAGUCUGAAGUUAAAGGCUGUGGCUUAACCAUAGUACGCUUUGGAAACUGUUUAACUUGAGUGCAGAAGGGGAGAGUGGAAUUCCAUGUGUAGCGGUGAAAUGCGUAGAUAUGUGGAGGAACACCGGUGGCGAAAGCGGCUCUCUGGUCUGUAACUGACGCUGAGGCUCGAAAGCGUGGGGAGCAAACAGGAUUAGAUACCCGGGUAGUCCCUGUCUCUUAUACA